UCACAGAGAUACGUCAUAGAAUUUCUCAGAUGGAAAAUACAGCAAACUGAGACCAGCAGAAAGGGCAUCCAUUACAGCACAUACCUGAAAGCUUACUGUUCUGCUCAUGCUUCCCAUGGAAGUCUUCAGCCUGAGGAGGGUGCUGUUCAUCACUGUGAGACUUCAACACUGUCUCCAUCACAAAACAAACCUGAAGUAAAAAAACCCAAGACUUUGAGGACCACUUCUGGACACCUGGGGGAGCAAGCAUGUCUGAAAAGCAAAUUCUGCGCCUAGCAACGAGCUGACCUUUGCUGCAGAUACACGAUAAAUCCGCCUGUUACGAGACAAGCAGCACGAGUCCCCCACCAGCUGCAUCCCGGCCGCUCGCGGAGAGCGCGCGCACUGCAACCGAGCGGCGUCACCCGCGCAACGGUGGAGCUGAAGGCGCGCGACGUGCAGAACGGUUACAAGGAGGGCGGCGGGGGGGUCCGCGCGGGUUUGCCAGCGGGCGUGGGGCGUCCCGGGUGGCCGCCGCCGCCGGGAGCAGCGUGAAGAAGGGCGCUGCAGCUUCCCCCCGAGGAGCCGCCCCUCGGCACCGCUCCGCCGCGCCAGGUCGUUCCGAGCGGCCCCACGGGAACUACCCCCCUCCCCUCGCGGGGAUCAGCCGGGACGGGGGCGGGCAGAGCAGGGCCCCCCCAGGGACGAGCAGGCCGCGCCGCGUGGGUUCCCCCCCCCCGUCCCCGCGGAAGGCCGUGCGAAACCGGGGCCGCCAUGGCCGCAGCCGGCGGGGAAAAAGAGGGGGUAAGGCGGGGGGGGGCUGUAGCCGCGGUGCGGG